rnacentral:rRNA from 1 species
GACGAACGCUGGCGGCGUGCCUAAUACAUGCAAGUUGAGCGAUGAAGAUUGGUGCUUGCACCAAUUUGAAGAGCAGCGAACGGGUGAGUAACGCGUGGGGAAUCUGCCUUUGAGCGGGGGACAACAUUUGGAAACGAAUGCUAAUACCGCAUAACAACUUUAAACAUAAGUUUUAAGUUUGAAAGAUGCAAUUGCAUCACUCAAAGAUGAUCCCGCGUUGUAUUAGCUAGUUGGUGAGGUAAAGGCUCACCAAGGCGAUGAUACAUAGCCGACCUGAGAGGGUGAUCGGCCACAUUGGGACUGAGACACGGCCCAAACUCCUACGGGAGGCAGCAGUAGGGAAUCUUCGGCAAUGGACGAAAGUCUGACCGAGCAACGCCGCGUGAGUGAAGAAGGUUUUCGGAUCGUAAAACUCUGUUGGUAGAGAAGAACGUUGGUGAGAGUGGAAAGCUCAUCAAGUGACGGUAACUACCCAGAAUGGGACGGCUAACUACGUG